rnacentral:rRNA from 1 species
UACGUAGGGUGCGAGCGUUAAUCGGAAUUACUGGGCGUAAAGUGUGCGCAGGCGGCCGAGCAAGUCGAGUGUGAAAGCCCCGAGCUUAACCUGGGAACUGCGUCUGAUACUGGGAGGCUCGAGUAUGGGAGAGGGAUGUAGAAUUCCAGGUGUAGCGGUGAAAUGCGUAGAUAUCUGGAGGAAUACCGGUGGCGAAGGCGAGUCUCUGGACAUUUCCUGACGCUGAGGCACGAAAGCCAGGGGAGCAAACGGG